ACAAGGCAGUCUGCUGGGGUUUAAUGUGUCCCCCAAAGGCUGUGUGUGGGAAACCUCACCCCCAAUGCCGCCAUGCUGGGACAUGGGGCCUAAGAAGAGGUGACCAGGUCUGAGGACCCUGCCCUCGUGACUGGACGAGCGCUGUUUCAGUUGUGAGAGCGCGCUUGGCCCCCUCUCGGUCUCUCCGCUCUCUCGCCGGGUGAGGCCGUCUCUUGGAAAGACGCAGCUCAGGGGCCCUCACCAGAUGCAGCCCCUCAAUCUUGGGCUUCCAAGCCUCCAGGACCAUGAGCCAACUAAACUUCCAUUGUGUGUGAAUUACCCAAUCUGUGAUACUCUGUUAUAGCAGCAGAAAACAGACGAAGACACAGCCCCUGAGGGCAGGCGUCCGGGACAGAAGGCCUCUGCCCUGAAGUUACCGAGGGACCUCGGUGACACAGGCACCUCUGCCGCAGCCCGACGUGUGAGAACAGAGAGGGCUUUCCCCACACCUGCAGGAGGCGCUGCUGCCGUCACAGACAGGACAGGCUACGGCGUGUCCACUGUGCAUCUCCCAUGAUGGAGACAAGCCCGACCAUUCAGAAAGCCUCGUGAGCCUGUGUGCACUCCAAAUAGUCUAAAUUCGGUUUCCAGCACCCGUGCGCUGCUGCUGUGGACACACCAUGCCAGGCCACUGUGCAGCUUGGUUGUCAUGGGUGUGUGCUGCACGUGGGUUGCUACCAAUAAUUCGCUUUUGGGUUUUGACAUCCCUCUUGCCAACAGAUAUUCCCCCUCUGUCUAUGCUAGGGGAAUGAGAUAUUCCCUCUAACAGGGAGAAAAUCUAACCUAGAAGUCAAACGCAUGGAAACACGGAGAAUACCUUUGAACAGCUCAGACCUAGAUAGCCGUGGACAGUAUCCUCCUGUCCUAUUGUUCUGUAUGCUGCCAGGAGCUCUCCCCCCAGGAUGACCCACCUCCCUCACUGCAGGAACAAAGCACACUGUGUUCUCGAGAAGGAACAGCUUCCCAGAAACUGUGAUGCAGCAAGUUCACGAU
rnacentral:lncRNA from 1 species